rnacentral:rRNA from 1 species
UACGUAGGGGGCAAGCGUUGUCCGGAUUCAUUGGGCGUAAAGAGCGUGUAGGCGGCCAGGUAGGUCGGUUGUGAAAACUGGAGGCUCAACCUUCAGAGGGUCGACCCGAAACCAUCUGGCUAGAGUCCGGGAGAGGAGAGUGGAAUUCCUGGUGUAGCGGUGAAAUGACGCAGAUAUCAGGAAGAACACCCGUGGCGAAAGCGGCUCUCUGGAACGGUACUGACGCUGAGACGCGAAAGCGUGGGGAGCAAACAGG